CUCUUCAUUUUCCAUUAUCUAAACACACCCCUAGGGUUUCUGAUCCACGAAUCAACCCACCAGAGUCGCCCGGCCAUGCCUUGGGUUUAUCAUCCGCAACUUGAAUCGCUGGCCGUUCCGCAACAACCUGAAUCGUGUCCCAUGGCUGCGGCGGUUACGCAGCCUGAAUCGCCGGCCAUGGCUGGGGUUGAUCGUCUCCGCUUGGACGGUGCCAUGCCCCCCUCGUAUCCCUCCUCCUGGUCUGUGCUGCCGCGGGAGGUCGUGGUUGUCGACGAGAUCGACGACGGGGAGGAGCUACGCCGGUGGAACAUCCUGAGAUGCGAUCGCAGGGCCGGCUACGGCGUCUGCGAGGCAGUGGUGGAGGGCGUGAAGCUCGGUGCGCGCGUCGUCUCCGACCGGGGCUUCUCCGCCCUGUGCAUCAUCGUGAGCAAAGCCGCGCGGGCUGGGACGAGAGGCCAAGUCUGCGCCGCGGUGCUGGCUAUCAAGAAUCAUGUCAUCGUCCUCUCCGUCGCCUUUCCCAGAGGUGAUUUGUUCCACUCCCUCAAGUGUGCGUGUUCAUCCUUCUACCUGGUCUACGACGCCUCCGACGCGUCCAUCACCAUGAUCCCCGACCUGCAAUUCUCCUUUCACCACCACAAAGUGUCUUCUGCUGUCACCAAGGAACCUCUCCCAAUCGCUUGUGGUGUUGCACAUUACCUCGUCCUCCUAGGCCGUGCCAUGACGAUUAAGGGGAUGGAUCAGCACAUAGAAGAUCGUGUCUGCCUGAGUCCGCUGCAGCAGUCAUCUUUGGCUCAUCCAUCGCCAUCGUCCAGCACCAACUGCAGUCUGUGGAUGACCAAGUCGGCCAUCUUCCCCAAAGAGGUGGUGACGAGAGGCUUUUCUGCAAAUAAGAUGCUCUCGUUCGAUGGCUUGGCUAUGUGGGUUGACUUGCAUCAAGGAAUCCUCUUCUGCCAACACUACGACUUGUUCUCCAAUUCCAAUGACAGCGGCUCUGUGCCGUUCUACUGUGUUGAUCUGCCACCGGGCUGUUGUAAUGAUGACAUCACCACCCGCCCGCUUUCUGACUCCUAUCCACCAGAGAUGUACCGUUCUAUCGUGUGUGUCGGAGACAGCAUCAAGUUCGUCACCAUUGAAGGCUACCUCCGCGACAGCACUGCCCCUAUCGAGGAUCGGAUGGUGACUAUGUGGAGCCUGAGACCCCAGGAAUCUUGGUCGUGGAGGAAAGACCGUGACCUCAGCAUUGGAGGCAUAUGCGCGCAGCUUUACAAGAAGAUUGCUAUAUGCGCAACGAUGCUGGAGCCGAUGCCGAAUAUGGCACCGCAGAGUCCUAUCCUGAGCACGGAGGAUGGCAGCCUCCAUCUCCUUAUCGUGAAUGAUAACAGCAAUGAAAUGCUCGAGAAUCAGAAUAUUAUGGUCACUGUUGACAUGUCCAAGGGCUACGUAAUCUCCGCUUGUUUGCUCCCUACUGACUUUGGCGAUCAGCUGCCUGGGUUGUAUGGUGUCAUGCUGCCGCGUAUGCUGGGCUCCAACUUCUUCCGGUUCUGAUUGGCAAAAAAAGAAGCACAUGGAACGGCAAUGAGAAAACACAUGCAAUUUAUCUAUAUUAUUAGAUGUAAUCGGAUAUUUGUAGUUCUCUUCUUAUCUUUCUCUAAGCACAUGUUAGUGGUGGAAACUUUAUCUGCACUGCAAGCUAUCUUAGCACUGAUGAUCGGCAUGCAAUCUUAGUAAAAUUUCUUGAGAUGAGAAUGUGCCAUGUUUGUAAAAGAUGGACCUAUUAAGAAUCACCUU
rnacentral:lncRNA from 1 species